CACACCGUUUGACCAACCCUAGUACACGUACUUUUUUAAUAACUGUAAUUCUUCUUUCUAAGAAGGCACUAGAAUUUACUCCCGCCUUCCACAGUGCCUCUAUAUAAGGGCCGUUGCAAGAAUGAAGUAAUGAAAAAAGAGGUAUUUUUCUGUCCUUUUAAGCAAGUCCUUUUUCUCUCCUUAUUCCUUUCGUCUGGUUCACCGACCUUCUCUCAUUCUGUUAGUCGUCUUCUCUAAAUUCUUAGUCCUGCUCCAUCGCCGCAACAAGAAGAGGGACAUGCGUUCUCUCUGGAUCCAACGCAUCAAUGCUGGCACCCGCCAACAUGGUGUUAGUCUUUUUUCUUUUUAACGCAUCUUGUUGGGCAUGGAACUUUGAAAUAUUUUACCAUUCAUUGAUGUGGGAACUGGGAAGGGAGAUGAAGUGACCUAAUUGUUUGAGAAAGCUUAGCACUUUCCGGAGUAACAGGAUUUGUAGGGAUGCUGAGUUUUAUAGAAUGCAGUACUUUGCUUGGGGCAUGUCCUGUUGUGCCUUGAUGGUAGAACAUUACUUGGAAUUGGAUUAUUUGAAAAGCUUAGGAGUUUGAGAAAAUCUGGUGGAAAAUCAUCAUGCAAAUGUCAGUAGUUACACUGAUCUCUAUGGCAUGAGUUGGUUUGCAAUUAUGAAGUACUAAAGAAAACCAACAAAUGUGAAGUUUUUUUCUGAAAGAAGGGAGGGGGAGAAUCCUGGUUUCUUUUAAUCUACUUUUGCUAGAUUUUGACUUUCUUUUCUUAUAAAUAGAACAAAAACUGGGAAAAACUGAGGUAUAAUUGACUUCUUUAUCAUUUUGGAGCACAUUGUUGUAUGUUUGGGUAGUGCAACUUGAAUAUUUUCCUCAUAAUGAAACUUCUCCAUGGUGGGAUACUGACCUUUGGCAUCUUCUGCUGCUCUGUUAUCACUAUCAGUUUAAUUAUGGUAAUUUCAUGCAUGGACUGCGGAAGGAGAAUUUUCAUCUGAACAGAAAAGUCUUAUCAGAGAAAUCCAUGCACGAACCAUAUAGUUUCAAGGCCCUGGUAGACAUUUCCCGCAACACCUUUCCUGGAAACAAAAAUGUGGUGCAUCGUCCCAGGAAAGUGGACAUUUCUUCUGUUAAUGUGUAGUUCUUUAAUUGGGUACCUUGGUAAUUCGCUCUUUUUAUAGCCCUUCAGAGCUUGUCUGAAACAAAAGCUUUAAAUAGGUAGCUUUGUAUUUCCUGGGGUAGUUUAGACCUCCCUGUCUCUGGAUAUAUGGAUGAAUGAAAACAGCUAGCCAUUCUGAAGAAAUAGAAGUGAUAUCUGGCCAGUUACAUUUCAAUAUUUAAGGAUGCACAAUGAAGUGAAGAAACAUGAGAAAUUCUUCAAUUUUCAAAAUGAAGAAUAAUUUUACUUUCAUGAGAAAGAAACUAAUCAUCUUAGAAAUUUUCUCCCCUGCUGUAACUCUGUUAUGUUUCUAUAGCAUUUCGAAUUUACUUGCAUUGUUUGAUUUUGUAUCAUUGAUCUCCACUUCAUGCACUCUAAUGUAUUGAUGACAGCUUGAACAGGUUUGGGCACUUAUAAAUUCUGUUUUUUGAGGAUCUAUUAAUUGGCUUGCCCAAACUUUGAAAUUACUGACAGUGGAGUGUCAUGAAGCUAAAUCGAUAUAUAGAGAUUAACUUUAUAAAUUCUUCUCUGAAUUUGAUCUUAUUUGUGAAAAAAUGGCAUUGAAUGAUCUCUCUAUAUCAUUCUAAGAGACAUCCUCAUAUGUGGAGGUCCCCGAGGUCUGCAGUCUCUUAAGACAGCUCCUGCUUGAAGAAUUUGCAAGGUUUAACCAAGAGCUCAAUGUGAAGAGUGAAACACUACAGGGCAUUUCAGUUUGAUUAUUAAUGCUGCAGUAUAUAGGUACUGCGUUUGCAUGACAACAUGGUGAAGGUGUAUUAAGAGGUUAAGCCUAACCAUGAUGAUCACAAGUUCAUAUUCUGUAUGUUAACACUGGACAGGAAGAUUACUAGUCCAAAAACAAGGAAUCGUUCAUUGCUGAGAACAUAGGAAUCGUGAACGACAGUUGCAUUUACCUUUUGUAGCCCACUGUCCAAGAGCUGAUACGAUAUAAUAUUUGGACAUCCGACUCCCGGAGCCCAUCCUACUUGAGUUCACUACGGGGAAACAAAAAGGAAAUGAAGAUUAAUAUAGUUGUUAUUCCAUUAGUGUUAUUUUGUUCACAAGGGAUUCUUGCAGGCUAAUUUCCAGAAUCCAUCCUUUGUUUAAGCAGAUUUAGCUUGAGUUGCACUCCGCUAUGCGGGCAUCGAGUUCGUAUAAUCUGUGAGUGAAUUGCAUGCACGCAUUGGCAAAGUUGACUAAUAAAGCAGACGCAGUAGCACAGAGAGGUAGAAAGAAAGAUUUGCUGUAUGGAUUACCAAAGGUAAUCAAAUGGCUAGCAUUUCUGAGACAAUAAACCACUUGCAAAUCAAAUUAACCGAAACGCCACUUACAUGAGUGCAAUGAAGGGCUUAUUUUACUCAUUUUUUAGAA